CCUACGGGAGGCAGCAGUGGGGAAUAUUGCACAAUGGGGGAAACCCUGAUGCAGCGACGCCGCGUGAGGGAAGAAGUAAUUCGUUAUGUAAAGCUCUAUAAGCAGGGAAGAAAAUGACGUUACCUGAGUAAGAAUCUCCGGCUAACUACGUGCCAGCAGCCGCGGUAAUACGUCGGGGGCAAGCGUUAUCCGGAUUUACUGGGUGUAAAGGGAGCGUAGACGGCAGUGCAAGUCUGGAGUGAAAGGCGGGGGCUCAACCCGCGGACUGCUCUGGAAACUGUACGGCUGGAGUGCUGGAGAGGUAAGUGGAAUUCCUAGUGUAGCGGUGAAAUGCGUAGAUAUUAGGAGGAACACCGGUGGCGAAGGCAGCUUACUGGACUGUAACUGACGUUGAGGCUCGAAAGCGUGGGGAGCAAACAGGAUUAGAUACCCGGGUAGUC
rnacentral:rRNA from 1 species